AUUCCGCCACCUGCGUGUGAGACGAACCAUAAGCCCAUCGCAAUUAAGCUGUGCUCGAAAGACGGCUGCAGCUAAAUGGGGCUAUUUUUACACUGACACGUAUCUGCUAAGAACCUCACUGUACCUCCAGCGCUACCUAACAGUCGACCACGGUAGGCCACUGUGUGUGAAACUACACCAAAAUGAAACUUUUCUCUCUCCCUCUCUCUGCCUUUUUCUCUCUCCCUCCCUCUCGAGCGCGUCCGUGAUUGCGCGUUCACGAUUGGCAGCUCCACGUCGACAUUCUUCCAGCUGCGGAGUCCGGUACACGGGAGAGGGAGAGGGAGAGAGAGAGAGAGAGAGAGGAGAAAGAGACGAAAUCACCUCACCAACACUGUCCAGGGCCUGAGGAAGGACGCCAAGUGCCAAAUUAACGCAUAAAAUCUUCGCUGGCUCUGAUAGUCUCGGCUGCCAUAUUUGGACAUGGCGUUUUUUUUCUUUUUUGCAUUUCUCUCUUUCGCCUCGUGCAUAAUGUGCUGAGUUGCAGCUGUGAGGUCCAGCAGUGAGAAGACGAGAAGUCCCAUAGUGAAGGAGGAUUAGCGCGCUUCUUCUGUGGCUUUCCAAGUAAAGUUCUGUGAUACACUCCGACUCUUAAUUGUUUGCAGUCAGUGCAUUACAGAACUUUGUUUUGGGAGUUUAAAGCUCUGGCCUGGAGGGAUCAAACUAUUACAUCUGGAGGGAGGGAUAACCGCCCCACACACAAGCCCCCCAGCAGCACUUAGCUCCAUCUCUCCCUUGCGGAUCACACACAAAUAAAACUGUUCAUUGUGACUGUC